rnacentral:lncRNA from 9 species
UUUUUUUUUUUUUUUUUUUUUUUUUGGUCUUUUUGCCAUUUCUUGGGCUGCUCCCACGGCAUAUGGAGGUUCCCAGGCUAGGGGUUGAAUCGGAGCUGCAGCCACUGGCCUAUGCCAGAGCCACAGCAACGAGGGAUCCGAGCUGCAUCUGCAACCUACACCACAGCUCAUGGCAACACUAGAUCCUUAACCCACUGAGCAAGGACAGGGAUCGAACCCGAAACCUCAUGAUUCCUAGUCGGAUUCAUUAACCACUGAGCCAUGACGGGAACGCCUCAAUUAUUCCACUUUUAUAUCUAAUGUCCAUUUCAAACUUAACAUGUCAAAAAUUGAACUCCUGAUUUUCUCUGGCAAAAUAAAAAAAAAAAAAAAAAGGAAAGCACUGACAUUCUUAUCUCAGUAAAUAAAAAGUAACAUCCUUUUUCUUUCUUCUUUUUUCCUUCCUUUCUCUUUCCUUCCUUCCUCCAUGUUCUUUCUCUUUCCUUAACAUUAACCUGCAGAUACUUAUUACAGAAAACAUAAACAAAUAUUUCAGAUGUUGACUUGCUGGACUUGCAUGCUGUAAAAUUUCUUGAUAUUCUCGUUGGAUCACUUUCUGAUCUAAGGUACCCAUUUUCCCCCUCACCAGCCGUACUUGAGAGAGUCCAUUUUGCUGUACUCAGAACAGCAGCAAACACUCACUGAGCAAAAAUUAAAAUAAGGGAGUUCCCAUUGUGUUGAAGUGGAGGUGAAUCUGACUAGUAUCCAUGAGGAUGCAGGUCCGAUCCUGGGCCUCACUCAGUGGGUUGAGGAUCCGGUUUUGCAGUGAGCUGUGGAGUGGGUCACAGAUGUGGCUCGGACCCCAUGUUGCUGUGGCUGAGGUGUAGCUGGCAGCUGUAGCUCUGCUUUGAGCCUUAGCCUGGGAAUUUCCAUAUGCUCUGAGUGCAGCCUUAAAAAGCGAAAUAAGUAAAUAAUAAAAUAAUGUUGCUUUCAGAUUUGCAUUUCCUUGAUGACCAGUGAGGUUCAAGAGAGGAAUGUUGCACAACCUGCUCUCUCUCUGCCCAGAAUUCUACUUUGUGGUUCACAGGAUUUUAGAACUGGCACGUGGUACAUGCUGUCAUCUUACAGAGAAGACUGAAGCCAGCUCUACCAAUUUGCAGCAGCACGCUCCCAAUUUGUAUGACUCAAAAUUAAUCAAUUAAUUAAUUAAGUGAUCUGUUCCAAGACCAGCUCUCUGUCCUUUACACCCAUUGAGAAGUCCUCAUUUUUAAAGUUCUUAUUAUGGGAGAAGGGUUGGAAAAAUACUUGCAUUACUAGUCAGGGUCCUUAUCAACAGCAGCUCUUUGAGGAAUUGAACAAAUGUGCACAGAACCUUUGAGAAGCAGCAUUGGGAACUCAAGGACAGAGGAUUUCAGAAUUUUGCUCAGAGUUCAAGGGCAUGGCCUUUUGAGACACACAUGAUACUAUGAGGUGUUCCUUUCCUGGAAACAUACAGGAGAAAGUUUGCCCAGCUCUGCCAUUUGGCCACAUGCCCCAAGACCGUGAUCAGCAGCACGUAAGCAACCCCAUCAAGGUUACUGCAGAUCCCAAGACCCACUCCUAGACUUUUGUAAUUUCCCUUCCAUUGCCAUUUCUUUAAUUCUCCCAGACGGAGGAAGGAAUUCUCCACCCAGAGAUUAUCUUCCUGGCUGACUUGCCUCCGCUCUUUUAGUACUUUCUCUCAGUGAUUCUUGUUGGCCUUGAGCAAAAAAAGAUUUACCACAGCUGCCACUACAACAGACAAAACAGACACAGCCUCUGUCGGAAGGAGAUUAUGAUCUAAAUAAACUUGACUGAGGAGGCCCAUGUUUCCUUAGGGAGACGGUCUCUUGGAGGAUGACGAUAUUACACAGAGGAUUCUGGAGUGAAAUCGUGCCAGACCACCCUGAAGGGUGGCACUUGGGCAUCCAGCUUGAUGUCUGGAGAUCUGGACAGAGGGAGACUCUGUCUUUCCAGAGGUUCAAAUUCCUUAAGAUUUGUCAAUAACCUUUGUCAUCUGGUGCUCUGAAAUCCAUGGAGAGAAGGAGAGCAGAAACCAUUUCAAAGCUGCUCACUCCAGGCAAGAGAGUCAAGCCAGGAUGUGUGAUACUGCUCUUCUGCAGGAGGCAAGAGACCACAAUUCCCCCUCCACAUGCAGCAGCCUAAAAGAUCAGCCUUCUGGGAGUUCCCAUUGUGGCUCAGGGGGUUAAGAACCUGACCUAGUCUCCAUGAAGAUUCAGGUUCGAUCCUUGGCCUCACUUAGUGGGUUAAGGAUCCCGUGCUGCUGCAAACUAUGGUGUAGGUUGCAGAUGUGGCUCAGAUCUGGUGUUGCUGUGGCUGUGGCACAGGCUGGCAGCUGCAGCUCUGAUUUGACCCCUAGCCUGGGAACUUCCAUAUGCCACAGGCGUGGUCAUAAAAAAAAAAAAUCAUCCUUCUUUCAGAGAUUUGCAUCCAUCUCCCAGGCUGCCCCUGCACACAACAGGAGCAUGCAGUCAUUACAUCUGUGGCUCCAUACCUUCCAGGGUGAGUAGAUUGUCUGCCUUCCCCCAGCAUCCCUGGAUCAAACCUACUUGCAUUCCAUCAGUCAAAGAGCCCUCAGUCUCCCAGGUCCUCGCUUACACUCAGGGCCUCUCUAAAACCUCCCUGAAUCUGAUCCAUCUUUCUAGCCCCCUUCACCUGGGGCCCUUGAAUUGUGCCCUCUGAACACUCUGUCAUCCACAAACUCCUCUGUUAUCUCACUUCUCUGAUGUUUUCUUUCCCUUCUUGCCUAGUCUCUGAUAAUACUGAUACCUGUCACCCUCUUCAGUGGAUGCCAUUUCACAGCUGUUUGUGUCUUCCAAGCCCUGGAGGUGGGAUCAGUUUCCCCCAAGCUCUUCACUGCUGCUUCCAAAUCAUCUUGCUUAUUUCAAACUUUGCACUUUCUGGGAAGUUCAUGCCAUCCGAUUUUGGCAAAAUAGGAUGGCAAGAACUUGUGGCUCAGCAGGUUAAGGAUCUGACAUUGUCACUAAUGCAGGUCACUGCCAAGGGUGGGGGUUCAAUCUUUGGCCCGGGAAAUUCUGCAUGCCCUGGGCAUGUCCAAAAAUAAAAUACUAAAAAAUAAAAAAUUAAUCUUUUUUAGUCAUCGUCCACCUAUAUCCUAGUCACAUCUAUAAUUCUCUGAUGAUGAUAAUAGCACAUGCAUCACUGCCAUCCUUACUGUUUCAUUAUUUUUUUUUUACUACAGCAUCUACAUAAAUGAUCCCCCAACAAUUAAUUCACCUCUCUGCCUUUUGAGCUACUCACCUCCAGGAAUCUUAUUUUCCACCUUCCAUGAGCAAUCUUACAGUCAUCUACCUGACUUCAUCAUCUCUACUGCAUUAUCUUGAAAUCCUUAGUUUUAAGGUCCUUACUCAACCAUAAUCACAUUCUAUCUCCCAGCACAUUAUUUAAUUCCAUCAUAUCAUUUCAUCAUUUUAUUCUAAAUAAAAUAUAAGGCCAUCAACCAUACGAGAUUUUCCCUAUCCAUAUUCAUCUGUCUGUCUUCGCCUCCCCUUUUACUCAGUUUAAACUCCAUCAUUACAAUCUUUUUCUUGCAAACCUUCUUAACUCCUCUGACUCCUCUCCUUCUAUUCAUAUUCACUUGGAAAAACCUCAAAUAUGCUGAUUCCUUCCAUGGACUUGGGUAGCUGAAUGGUAACUAAAGAAACAUCAAAACGAUGACACUCGGUCUCACUUUAAAUUUAUUGCCACAAAUCUCAAGAAGCAAUUUACUAUGACUCAUCACUCCCACUGCAUUUUCUAGUAUGCUUACUUUCUCAUUUUCCCAAAUGGCUAUUUCUCACUUUCUUCUUCCACUUCAAAGACUUGUUGCCAUCUCUUCUGGUUCUUAGCUAUCAGCUGAUGACCGUACCUCAUAUUGUACAGGGAAACUAUGAAAAACAGAUGGAAACUUCCUCAUUUCUCCUUCUAAAUGUACUCAUCUUCUAUGCUGUGGACCUGACUUGUUGCCUUCUCUCUUGUUACAGAGGAAGGAACAUCUCUAGCUCUAUCCUAGGCCAGCCCCUGCACCUCUGAUGCAAAUUCCAUCUCUCACCUUCCCAAGGAUUUCAGUUCUGCCCCACCAAUUUUUGCCACAUUCCUGAAUAAGUCUCAUCAGUACAUGAUCAAGCCAUGGUAAAUUCAAUUGAAAAAAUAGGUUCCUUCUUUGCCCUUACAUGUCUUUGCAACUAUCUACAUUUCUACCCACCACCUGGCUGCUCCCUUUUAAACAAAACUUCUCAAAGGAUGUCUCUAUUGUCAUUUUUCUAAAUCCCUCAUCUCUCAUUCUCUCCUCCAUCCACUGCAAUAUAGCUACAAUCUUCGCCAUUUCAAUGACAUUGCUCUUGUCAAGAUCAUCAAUAACCUCACUGCUCCAAAUCCAGUGGUUGGUUUAAUAUCCUCUUUUUACUUAAACUCUAAGCAAAUUCAUCAAAGGUGACAGGCUCCAUUGGUCAUAGAAUGUUUUAUUCCUCUAAUUUAAUGACAUCACCCCUGCUUAAUUUCCUAAUUUUCCUUCUAUGAAAAAAAAAUUUCCUUUUUCAAUCUGGUAUAGUGAUGCUAGAAUUGCCCAGGGCUUGAUUCUAAAAACUUUUUUGUUGUUGUCAAUCUAUUUUGUCCAUAUAGGUAAUAAUUUUCUUCCUUCCUUCCUUUCUUUCUUUUUUUUUUUUUUUUUUUUUUGCCUUUUUAGGGCCAUACUAACGGCACAUGGAGGUUCUCAGGUUAGGGGUUGAAUUAGAGCUGUAGAUGCCAGCCCACGCCACAGCCACAGCAACAUGGGAUCCAAGCCAUGUCUGCAACCUAUACCACAGUUCACGGCAACGCUGGAUCCUUAAUCCACUGAGCGAGGCCAGGGAUUGAACCGGUAUCCUCAUGGAUAUUAGUUGGAUUCAUUUCCACUGUGCAACAACAGGAACUCCCAUAUAGGUAAUAAUUUUCUUUCAUGGUUCAAAAUGACACCUAUAUGUUAGGGAGUUGCAAAAUCAGUGUUAUGUACAUUUAAAAUACAUAAUGAUAAAUUAAUGCAGAAGCAACACAUUUGUAGGAAGCACAAGAAGUAAUCAACUGGGAAUGUCUUUUACUCACCUCUCAAAAAUACCAAGUGUAAUAAUUAGAAUAAUAAAUAGUCCAAUGUGCAUAUUUUCUACCAACUCAGGGUUGUUAAUCAAAGACCUCUCCAAUACUCUAUGUGAUAAUGUAUAUGAAGUUGUAUAUUUGUGUGUAUGUGUGUUUAUUUCCUCAGAGAAUGUUCAUAAUUUAUCAGAUUAUCUUUGGAUAUUGGGGGUAAGCUUGUUUUCUAAAUUUUAAGAACUAUUUUAUGUAUUAGAACUGAUACCAUUGUAAGUUUAUUUUUCUGGCCACUAUUUAUACCAAAUAAAGUUUCCUGAGUCGAACAUAUCAGAUCAAAAGUAUACUGGAGUUUCCCUUGUGGCUUAGGGGUUAACAAAUCUGACCAGCCUCAUGAGGACACAGGUUCAAUCAUCCCUGGCCUUGCUGAGUGGGUUAAGAAUCUGGUGUUUCUGUGAGCCAUGGUGUAGGUCACAGACACGGCUCCGAUCUGAUGUUGCUGUGGCUGUGGUGUAGGCCAGCAGCUACAGUUCUGAUUUGACCCCUAGCCUGGGAACCUCCAUAUGUCUCAUGUAUGGCCUUAAAAAAAAAAAGAAAGAAAAAGAAAAAAAAG